rnacentral:pre_miRNA from 1 species
UGGGGGAGGCAGGAUCCUGGGCUGUGCCCCCCGGCGCCCUGCCAUCCGGGGCCUGUGCUGCUGGAAUCGCGCUCCUGGGCCAGGGCUCCCG